rnacentral:rRNA from 1 species
GAAAGCAGGGGAUCGCAAGACCUCGCGCUCAUGGAGCGGCCGAUGUCGGAUUAGCUAGUUGGCGGGGUAACGGCCCACCAAGGCGACGAUCCGUAGCUGGUCUGAGAGGAUGAUCAGCCACACUGGGACUGAGACACGGCCCAGACUCCUACGGGAGGUAGCAGUGGGGAAUUUUGGACAAUGGGCGAAAGCCUGAUCCAGCAAUGCCGCGUGAGUGAAGAAGGCCUUCGGGUUGUAAAGCUCUUUCAGUUGGGAAGAAAAGAUUGUGAUGAAUAAUCGCAAUUUAUGACGGUACCGAAAGAAGAAGCACCGGCUAACUACGUGCCAGCAGCCGCGGUAAUACGUAGGGUGCUAGCGUUAAUCGGAAUUACUGGGCGUAAAGGGUGCGCAGGCGGUUCUGUAAGUCAGAUGUGAAAUCCCCGGGCUUAACCUGGGAACUGCGUUUGAAACUACAAAGC